CUCGGAUAUAAUACGGGUCGUAAGAAAAUAGUCCAUCAUGGCCGACCAAGAAGGUGUUCAAACAAUCAAGAGAUAUGUUAGUCCAAAGACAGAAUGAGGAGCGAACUUUUACCACUUAUUUGUGUAGAAGAGUAUGGUACCAGGGGUGCAGCUGACUCUGAUUCCCGGCUUGUUCUAAUGAAAAAAGGCAGAUGAGGCACUGGAAUCCGAAUGUAAUCAAAAAUGCCAUUGUAUGAGGAUUGACCUGCAAUACCUGGAAAUCAUCUAACACAACUGCAACGCCUACUUUGGAAAAAUGAGUGCAAGAUGGAAACAAAGCUUUCAGUGGAACAUCUUGUCAUCUCAAAUAUUUGAUGACUUACAUACUGAUGUGAAGUUGAAGAUAAAACUCAUCUGUUGGUCCGUGAUUAUUAAAUAAAU